UGAAGCAGCCCCCUGAUGACUCAAGGCAAAAGCAGCCUCAUUAAGCUGUCCAGAUAUAAAAGGUGUAUAGAAGGUAGUACAUCCACUCAGAAAUGACUAAAGAUAUUUCUUGUUCAUAGUUUAACUUUUCGUCUUCUACACAACUCAUCCAAUUGAAGCAGCACCAAUAGUAUUCAGGAGAAAGGUUCCAUCAAAUUGUGUUCCCUACAAAGCUGCCUUGAUAUUCAAAACUUAGUCCACUUUACCAAAGGUUAAUUGAUUUGUUUUUUUUUAAUACAUAAACUUACUAGAUACCCUAAACAUUUUCAGUUCUUAACAUUUUUUAAUGAUCUGUUUCACAAAUUAUUUCUGUUUCCUAGAAAUGGAAGACCAGCAAAAAAACACUACCCACUGGUCAGUAGUUGGGUACAUCCAUAACCUAUCAGAGCUAAAACGAGGUACAAAAAGGCCAUACUUUGAAGCAGAAAUUCAGCAAAAACACAAAAUUCAGAAACUCAUUGUCUUCAAGCCAGAUCUCUACACACAGUUUAAAAAUGUAAACAAUGACAGAACUCGAGUUCACCUACAUGAUGAUGUACUACAACCACCAUGACUGUGAAUGUCAAGGCAAAGAUUAAUGGGCAAAGCCAGAACUUUGUUCAUCAUGGAACCUUUCUCCUCAAUACAACCUACGCUAUUGCUGACACCACUGCUUCCAUAUGCUUCACUGUUGGAACGACACUGACAUCAUCAUUGGGUCCUGGUAUUUAAUUUCAAAUGCAUCAAUUCGGCACUUUGAUAGAAAAACAAUAACCCCACCACUACAGAUACAGAACUGACUUCAGUAACCUGUCGGGAUAACACACCCAAUACAACACACCACUUUAGAGAGACUUAAUGUAGAGAUUAUUGGCGUAAACUUUGAUGUUUUGUACAUUUGUCCUCAAAAACACAAAAUCCCAAAUAUGUCACUAUCCACCUCAAAAGUCCAAUGUGAAACGUGCCACACUUACUUUAAAUCAGCAUGCAUUACACAUUACACAUAUGGUACAAUCACAAUUAAAACUGCAACCAACAUCAGAACUGUACACAUCGAAAACAAUCUCAUUAGAUCGGUUAUUGACAUUGCAGAUAAUGCCACCACAGACACAAUCAUUGACUUCUUGCUUUCACUACCACCAGUAAACGUAAAUUUAACACACAUCUCAACUGCAGUCAAACUUCCUACACCAGGGGCCCGUUCUUCGUACGUCGCUAACUCAGUUAGCUGGAUUUGAUUGUUGAUGAUUUGGCAUGAUCUUGGAUCGUUUGGUUCUUCGAAGCUCAUCCUAAACUUGCUGUCAUAGCAACAGGUCCUUAAGCUCAAACCUGCUCGGGAGCAGGCUUAUUUCAUGUAAACAGGAUUAGAUUGAGGCUUUAUAAGCGGAGGAGAUAGGGAAGUCUGUUGCAGCCAUGUCUUGUCCGUUUUUACGCGAGCAACCUGUUGCGGAAGGUGCGAGAAUAAUUCGCAGAGCUUUUUAAAUUAAUCAGAUAUUGCGGGAUAGACAGGAUCCUUUAGCCCAGCGCGAAAGUGUAAUGGUUGAGAGAUACCGUUUUUCUCGUGAGGGUGUCAUUUACAUCAUUAAUUUGUUAGAACCACACAUUAAGUGUUCAACACGGAGGAGUCGGGCUUUGACAACUGCACAGACUGUGUGCAUUGCCCUGAGAUUCUUUGCGAGUGGCACUUUCCUAUAUACUAUUGGAGAUGCAGAGAACUUAAUGAAAAGUGCUGUCUGUCAUGCCAUUCGCAAAGUUUACCUGGCACUCAAGCAGUUUUUAGGGGUUUUGUGGUAUUCCCAAGCCACUUAAGACCCCAGGUUGUAAAGCAGAAUUUUUUCCCUAUUGCAGGUACAUUUAUAAUUGUAAAUGACACGCAAUCAUGACCAUGCCAAAAAGUAUGACUAGUAUGUGUCAUUCAGGCUUCCCUAACGUGAUUGGUGCCAUAGACUGCACGCACAUCCCCAUCAAGGCCCCACCUGGCCCAAAUGAAGGAGAUUUUGUGAACCUAAAGGGGUUUCACAGUGUAAAUGUGCAGGUAAAUUGCUAUUACAAUUUAUAAUAUUCCAGAUUAGUAAUUUAUUACAUAAAAAAAGGAAUGAAAUGAAAAAGUAUGCAGUUGACUUACUAAAAUCUCACAGAUGGUGUGUGACACUGUUCCAUAUUACAAAUGUGGAAACAAAAUGGCCAGGAUCAGUGCAUGACUCCAGAUAUUUUAAGAGUCACAUUUAUGCAAAAUUUUUGAACGUGGUAAGGGAACAUCAAUGUCAAGCUCACAGUAUUACACACACACUUAUGCUGAGCCUAACAAAACUGCAUUUUUCCAUUAUACAGGGGAUUUUGAUGGGAUCCUGCUUGGAGACAGGGGCUAUGCCUGCAGGCAGUAUUUCAUGACGCCCUUCCCUGACCCAAACCCAUUACAAUGCAGCUCUAGCCAGGACAAGAGCAUGGAUUGAAAUGACCUUUGGGCAACCAAAGGAAAGAUUUCAGUGUCUGAAAAGUCUGAGGGUUGCACCUGACAGGGCCUGUGACAUAAUUGUUGCAUGUGCCAUAUUGCAUAACAUCGCCACUAUCAGAAAGGAGAGGAUCCCUGUGGUGGGGGUGCAGCCUGAUGAUGACCUCCAGCCAGUGCACUUGGACCAACCUAGUGGCAGAGCUGCACGGGACAGAAUUGUGGAACAACAUUUUUGAAUGUGUAAUAAAAGACGACAAAUAUGCUUAGUUCUCAGAGUUUUAUUUAAAGAAUUCUUUAUAAA